AGUGUGUUUUCUGUUUAGAAAAUCAUCCUGUAUUUAUACAAGGAUUUGCUCUUUAGAAAAUUGCAUGUUCUUCACUUGAUACAAAUGCACAGCUUGAAUCAUUUUACUAACUCUGGUUUUUGGUUUACAACAGGCUCGCUUGAGAUUUCAAGAGAGGGCAUGAUGUCGCCUUCCACUUUAACCCACGCUUCAGUGAGAACAACAGGAGAGCCAUUGUUUGCAUUACAAAGCUCGAUAAUAUCUGGGGAAAGGAAGAAAGACAGGCAGAUUUCCCCUUUGAAAGUGGUAAACCAAAAUACAAGUGCUGGUUGAAGCUCACCACUUCAAGGUUGCAGUCAGAGAUGCUCACUUAUUGCAGUACAAUCAUCAGAAGAGAAAUCUCAGAGAAGUCAGCAAACUGAAUUUCUGGUGACAUAAAUGUCACCAGUGCUUCGCACACUAUGAUAUAAUCUUAAAGGGGCAGAUGCUUUUUAAAAAAAUGAAAUUGAAUGUAAACUUUGCACAUUUAAAGGGUUUAUGUACACUAUGAGUGAAGUUUUACCUCUAUUCAUCAAUGUUCUACUUGUAAAUCAUCCAUUUACUAAAUACUGUAAGAGUUACCUAUCUUCAUAUGUCAUUUAAUCAUAUGUGCAUUGAUUUUCAAUAAUGCACAAUGGAAAAAGAAAUAUGUAGCAAUAUUAAUACUGUGUUGGAGUCUCCCAAAGCUUUCUAUACUUCCUAAAAUAUUUUUUAAGACAAGAAAUAGAAGUAAAUACUAUCCCAAAAUUAACCUCUCUCUUCCUGGGUUUCAUAAAAACCAGGAGAUGCCACAAGGAAAUCAUUCUCCCAUUUUCUUACUUCAGGAAAUAAAAUAUAUUCAGGAGAUGAGAAAAGCAGAAAGAGUUUACCCAUAGAUGACCCUUGACCCAUAGGCAAUUACUGUUAGCAUUCUAUUUCUUUUGACUCCUUUUAAAUCCUAUUUUGUCUCUAAACUAUACUUCACUGCUUUCAAAUCAGUAUUGGAGACCGACAUGAGACUAUCUCCCCAUAGGUUUUCUUGGUUUUUAUGAAAUCUCUAAAUUUGUAGAGGGGAAAAAAAUCAUUUCUUAAUUAAAUGUAUAUCAGAUUCAAAAGUUUAAUAGUUCCCAUUGUCAACAUUCUUAACUAUGCCUUUCUGCCCUUCCUUUCUCCCAGCAAGCCCAAAGAAUAAUAAAAUUUCAAAACUA